rfam:Tilletiaria anomala TBC 951 K437scaffold_53, whole genome shotgun sequence.
GCUGUAAUGGGUUAGUGGCAUACUGUUUCGUUGCCAUCUAAGCUUGUUCACUGAGCAAUGUGAAGAUCUCGAAACGACCUGGGUUCGAUUCCCAGUUACAGCA